rnacentral:rRNA from 1 species
AUUGAACGCUGGCGGCAGGCCUAAUACAUGCAAGUCGAGCGAGCGGCGGACGGGUGAGUAAUGUCUGGUAAACUGCCUGUUGGCGGGGCAUAACUACGGGAAACGGCAGCUAAUACCGCAUACCAUCAGAUUUGCCGAGAUGGGAUUAGCUGGGCGGUGGGUUAACGGCUCACCUAGGCGACGAACCCUAGCUGGUCUGAGAGGAUGACCAGCCAAACUGGAACUGAGACACGGUCCAGACUCCUACGGGAGGCAGCAGUGGGGAAUAUUGGGCAAUGGGCGAAAGCCUGAUGCAGCCAUGCCGCGUGUGUGAAGAAGGCCUUCGGGUUGUAAAGCACUUUCAGCGGGGAGGCGUUACCCGCAGAGGAAGCACCGGCUAACUCCGUGCCAGCAGCCGCGGUAAUAC